rnacentral:rRNA from 1 species
ACGGGUGAGUAACACGUGGGUAACCUGCCCAUCAGAAGGGGAUAACACUUGGAAACAGGUGCUAAUACCGUAUAACACUAUUUUCCGCAUGGAAGAAAGUUGAAAGGCGCUUUUGCGUCACUGAUGGAUGGACCCGCGGUGCAUUAGCUAGUUGGUGAGGUAACGGCUCACCAAGGCAACGAUGCAUAGCCGACCUGAGAGGGUGAUCGGCCACACUGGGACUGAGACACGGCCCAGACUCCUACGGGAGGCAGCAGUAGGGAAUCUUCGGCAAUGGACGAAAGUCUGACCGAGCAACGCCGCGUGAGUGAAGAAGGUUUUCGGAUCGUAAAACUCUGUUGUUAGAGAAGAACAAGGAUGAGAGUAAAAUGUUCAUCCCUUGACGGUAUCUAACCAGAAAGCCACGGCUAACUAC